UAAACUACAUAAAAAAUCAAGAGGAGGAAAUCAAUUCUCAUGCCUUAAUGAAAGAUUGAAAUCUCAUGGACUCUGGGGAGAUUAUGGGAGCAAUUAAUCCUUUCAUAAAUCAGUCAAUUUUUUUCUUAAUUCUUCCCUCAAUCAUCUCCAUAAUUAAUUAAGAUCUUUCCCAUUUAAAAGAUGGCAUAUUAUAUCUAAGUUAUUUUGAUUGCAAUCCUCUUGAUUCUUAAUAUUUUCUCAUUUAAGUCUAUAUUUAAUUUCCUAUUUAAUUUCUUAUGUAACUUCCUACAAUUAAUUUAGGAGAUUUAUUUUUUCCUGUAUUGUACAUGGCUUACUCUAUAAAUAGGCUUUCAUAUUCUCGUUGUAAUCAUU
rnacentral:lncRNA from 1 species